GAUGAACGCUAGCGGCAGGCCUAAUACAUGCAAGUCGAACGGUGUCUUCGGACAUAGUGGCGCACGGGUGCGUAACACGUAUGCAACCUACCUUACAUUGGGGGAUAGCCUUUCGAAAGGGAGAUUAAUACCGCAUAAGACAGUAGCUGGGCAUCCAGUAGCUGUUAAAGAUUUAUCGAUGUAAGCUGGGCAUGCGUCCAAUUAGUUAGUUGGUGAGGUAACGGCUCACCAAGACGAUGAUUGGUAAGGGAACUGAGAGGUCAAUCCCCCACACUGGCACUGAGAUACGGGCCAGACUCCUACGGGAGGCAGCAGUAGGGAAUAUUGGGCAAUGGACGCAAGUCUGACCCAGCCAUGCCGCGUGCAGGAAGAAGGCGUUCUGCGUUGUAAACUGCUUUUAUAUAGGAAGAAACGACCCUUGCGAGGGGCAUUGACGGUAUUAUAUGAAUAGGCACCGGCUAACUCCGUGCCAGCCGCCGCGGUAAAAC
rnacentral:rRNA from 1 species